rnacentral:rRNA from 1 species
AUCCUACGGGGGGCAGCAGUGAGGAAUAUUGGUCAAUGGGCUUACGCCUGAACCAGCCAAGUCGCGUGAGGGAAGACUGCCCUAUGGGUUGUAAACCUCUUUUGUCAGGGAGCAACGCCGGCUACGUGUAGCCGGACUGAGAGUACCUGAAGAAAAAGCAUCGGCUAACUCCGUGCCAGCAGCCGCGGUAAUACGGAGGAUGCGAGCGUUAUCCGGAAUUACUGGGUGUAAAGGGAGCGUAGACGGUUAAGUAAGUCUGGAGUGAAAGGCCGGGGCCCAACCCCGGGACUGCUCUGGAAACUACU